rnacentral:rRNA from 1 species
ACGAGUGGCGAACGGGUGAGUAAUAUAUCGGAACGUGCCCAGUCGUGGGGGAUAACUGCUCGAAAGAGCAGCUAAUACCGCAUACGACCUGAGGGUGAAAGCGGGGGAUCGCAAGACCUCGCGCGAUUGGAGCGGCCGAUAUCAGAUUAGGUAGUUGGUGGGGUAAAGGCCCACCAAGCCAACGAUCUGUAGCUGGUCUGAGAGGACGACCAGCCACACUGGGACUGAGACACGGCCCAGACUCCUACGGGAGGCAGCAGUGGGGAAUUUUGGACAAUGGGCGCAAGCCUGAUCCAGCCAUGCCGCGUGCGGGAAGAAGGCCUUCGGGUUGUAAACCGCUUUUGUCAGGGAAGAAAAGGUUCUGGUUAAUACCUGGGACUCAUGACGGUACCUGAAGAAUAAGCACCGGCUAACUACGUGCCAGCAGCCGCGGUAAUACGUAGGGUGCAAGCGUUAAUCGGAAUUACUGGGCGUAAAGCGUGCGCAGGCGGUUAUGCAAGACAGAGGUGAAAUCCCCGGGCUCAACCUGGGAACUGCCUUUGUGACUGCAUGGCUAGAGUACGGUAGAGGGGGAUGGAAUUCCGCGUGUAGCAGUGAAAUGCGUAGAUAUGCGGAGGAACACCGAUGGCGAAGGCAAUCCCCUGGACCUGUACUGACGCUCAUGCACGAAAGCGUGGGGAGCAAACAGG